UAACUUCGGGAAAAGGAUU
rnacentral:misc_RNA from 1 species